rnacentral:rRNA from 1 species
UAGUUGGAUCUCGGUUCGUGGCGGUCGGACCGUCUUCGUGACGGUUUCCAGAUCGAUCCGAACAGAAAUAGCCGGUUUGCCUGGCGAUGCUCUUCAUCGAGUGUGUGUCGGGCGGCUGGUAAGUUUACUUUGAAAAAAUUAGAGUGCUCAAAGCAGGCCAUAGCGCCAGAAUAAUAGUGCAUGGAAUAAUGGAAUAGGAUCUCGGUUCUAUUUUGUUGGUUCUCGGAACACGAGAUAAUGAUUAAUAGGAACAGACGGGGGCAUUCGUAUUGCGACGUUAGAGGUGAAAUUCUUGGAUCGUCGCAAGACGGACUACUGCGAAAGCAUUUGCCAAGAAUGUUUUCAUUAAUCAAGAACGAAAGUUAGAGGUUCGAAGGCGAUCAGAUACCGCCCUAGUUCUAA